GACGGAAGGUGCAAGCGUUGCUCGGAAUCACUGGGCGUAAAGGGUGCGUAGGCGGCCGCGCAAGUCUGGCGUGAAAGCCCCGGGCUCAGCCCGGGAAGGGCGCUCGAAACGGCGCGGCUCGAGUGCCGGAGGGGAGAGUGGAAUUCCUGGUGUAGCGGUGAAAUGCGUAGAUAUCAGGAGGAAUACCGGUGGCGAAGGCGCCGCUCUGGGCCGAAACUGACGCUGAGGAGCGAAAGCAUGGGUAGCAAACAGG
rnacentral:rRNA from 1 species